rnacentral:lncRNA from 1 species
CUAAAUAAAAAACUAAGAACGGCAACCCGAAAGCCCAAUAAUAUCGGCGACAUCCUUCUUCACAAAAGAACGGCAAGGGCCAAAAUUCAUAAAACAAAACCUUAAUCUCCAAGGCCUCACCCACCACUUCCCUUGAGAAAUUCUGGCCGCCUACACCUUUAAGGGAAAAAGAGCACCGGCCAGAACAAAAUUUUCCAAGGUCAACAACGCUUAUCGACAUCUACGACGAACAAUUGUCCCACAAAUUCCAAUUCCUUAAACCAUGGGAAUCUUCAAUCUUCACUUCCAUUGGAACAAUUCAUUUCCACACCUGCUCAAUCUGUAUAAGCCAUGAUUUCUUCUCCUAAAGAUUUCAUUGUUGAGUGAGGUCGGUUUGGUUUCGAGCUUUCCGUUGACGAUUCGAGCUCCAGCCAAUAAUUUUGUUUGGAACGUAUCGUUGUCCAUUUUCAAGUUGAAGUUUUCCUUUAAAAGGUGAGAACUCUUUCGAGAGAAAGGUCCACUCAUGGCUUCUUAUUUUAAAUUAAUGUAUAACUUUGCAGCUUUAUGUACGUGGAUGAAUUUUCUUUGGUUUCAUAAUUCUCUUUUGUUGCUGCCUAUAAUAAUAUUUUUCAUGGAUUAACAUGCUAAAAUUUAUUUUUAUUUUUUUAUAAUUUUGAGGCUUAAAACAACAAAAAGGGCAUAUGUAUUUGAGCGGGAUCUAUAUCGUACUCACAAGUUGCUAUUUCUUGUUGUAUUUGUAUGAUAUUGAAAUUUAGCCGUGAAAUUGUUUCUCUUUGUUUCUUGUUCAUUUAUAGUGUCC